rnacentral:sRNA from 1 species
GUUUGCGAGCCUCGGGUGGUCCUCAGGGAGGACUGCUUCGUGAAGGCAGGGUCCUCGUGUCCACUACUGUAUCCCCAUUACUCAGUGCCUGGCACGUGGCAUCCACUCCUUACAGCUUUGUGGAGUGAGUCACACAUGCCACACACACAUACACUCUAAAGAGGAACAAGAGUUCAGUGGGCCUCCUUCACUCAAGUGCCAUGGCUGCUUCAACCCAGCCCCAUGUCUCUGCUAGAGAAAUCUGGGGCUGGAGGUCUCUCGGCCAGAACGCGUGGAUGCCCACCCACCACUGAGCCUCAUGGAGUGGCAGUGUCUGGACCCUGGCCAGAGGGCCCUCUACAGGGAAGUGAUGCUGGAGAACCACAGCAGUGUGGCUGGACUAGCAGGAUUCCUGGUUUUCAAGCCUGAGCUGAUCUCCCGGCUGGAGCAGGGAGAAGAGCCGUGGGUCCUCGACCUGCAGGGAGCAGAGGGGACAGAGGCACCAAGGACCUCCAAGACAGAUUCUACGAUUAGGACGGAGAAUAAGCAGGUCUGUGAGGA